rnacentral:rRNA from 1 species
AUGGUUGGGACAAGUCAUAAAUCAAAACAGGAUGGACCUGCUGGAUCAAGUCAUGACGACCUUGCAUCUCAUGGGAAUGAAGAGCAUCAAACACAGCCACGGAGCAGUGCACCAAUAACUGGGUACAAGCAUAUGAGAACUAAAGCAGUUAUUACACGGCGGAAGCGCCCAGAUGAUAUCAUUAGUAACGAGAAUAGUAAUGAGAGCCAAGCUGCAGAUGCUGGGAAUAAAAAUGUCGAAGGUGCAGACGUCGACCAACCUCCAAAAGCAAAACGCCAGAAGACGGGAGGAACUGAGGGUCGUAGGAACAGGGCAUCCCCUGCAAGGCUCUUCAAGUUGAACAAGGACUUGGUCCUGACCAAAAGGGUGUCAUCAUCGGAAAAGAAUUUGGUGGCAUUCUGGACCUUGCAGCGAGUAGCAUGCCCGGAGAUUUUAGCCAGUGGAUAA